AUUGAACGCUGGCGGCAUGCUUUACACAUGCAAGUCGAACGGCAGCACGGGGGCAACCCUGGUGGCGAGUGGCGAACGGGUGAGUAAUGCAUCGGAACGUGCCCUGUCGUGGGGGAUAACACAUCGAAAGAUGUGCUAAUACCGCAUACGACCUGAGGGUGAAAGCGGGGGACCGUAAGGCCUCGCGCGAUAGGAGCGGCCGAUGUCUGCUUAGCUAGUUGGUGGGGUAAAGGCCUACCAAGGCGACGAUCGGUAGCUGGUCUGAGAGGACGAACAGCCACACUGGGACUGAGACACGGCCCAGACUGCUACGGGAGGCAGCAGUGGGGAAUUUUGGACAAUGGGGGCAACCCUGAUCCAGCCAUGCCGCGUGCGGGAAGAAGGCCUUCGGGUUGUACACCGCUUGUGGCAGGAACGAAACGGUGCGGGCGAAUACCCUGUGCUAAUGACGGUACCUGCAGAAUAAGCACCGGCUAACUACGUGCCAGCAGCCGCGGUAAUAC
rnacentral:rRNA from 1 species